rnacentral:rRNA from 1 species
UACGGGGGGAGCAAGCGUUGUUCGGAUUUACUGGGCGUAAAGGGCGCGUAGGCGGUCAGCACAAGUCAGUUGUGAAAUCUCCGGGCUUAACUCGGAAAGGUCAACUGAUACUGUGCGACUAGAGUGCAGAAGGGGCAACUGGAAUUCUCGGUGUAGCGGUGAAAUGCGUAGAUAUCCGGAGGAACCCCAGAGGCGAAGGCGGCGCCCUGGCUCGCAACUGACGCUGAGACGCGAAAGCGUGGGGAGCGAACAGG